UACGGAGGGUGCAAGCGUUGCUCGGAAUUAUUGGGCGUAAAGGGUAGGUAGGUGGUCUCAUUUGUGUGGGGUGAAAGCCUUGGGCUUAACUCAAGAAGUGCCCCGCAAACGGUGAGACUGGAGUACUGGAGAGGCGAGCGGAAUUCCCGGUGUAGCGGUGAAAUGCGUAGAGAUCGGGAGGAACACCAGAGGCGAAGGCGGCUCGCUGGACAGUUACUGACACUCAACUACGAAAGCGUGGGGAGCAAACAGG
rnacentral:rRNA from 1 species